rnacentral:rRNA from 1 species
AUUGAACGCUGGCGGAAUGCUUUACACAUGCAAGUCGAGCGGCAGCACGGGGGCAACCCUGGUGGCGAGCGGCGAACGGGUGAGUAAUACAUCGGAACAUGCCCAGUCGUGGGGGAUAACACUUCGAAAGAAGUGCUAAUACCGCAUACGUCCUGAGGGGGAAAGCAGGGGAUCGCAAGACCUCGCGCGAUUGGAGUGGCCGAUGUCAGAUUAGCUAGUUGGUGGGGUAAAGGCCUACCAAGGCAACGAUCUGUAGCUGGUCUGAGAGGAUGAUCAGCCACACUGGGACUGAGACGCGGCCCAGACUCCUACGGGAGGCAGCAGUGGGGAAUUUUGGACAAUGGGGGCAACCCCGAUCCAGCCAUUCCGCGUGAGUGAAGAAGGCCUUCGGGUUGUAAAGCUCUUUCGGCAGGAACGAAACGGUGAGCUCUAACAUAGCUUGCUAAUGACGGUACCUGAAGAAGAAGCACCGGCUAACUACGUG